ACGAGGAAGGGCAUAGUAAGCGAUGAAACGCUUUGGUGAGUUGAAAAUAAACGUCGAUCCGGAAAUUCCCGAAUAGGUCAACCUUUAGAACUGCUACUGAAUCCAUUGGCAAGCAAGAGACAACCUAAUAAACUGAAACAUCUUGUAGCCAAUGGUGGUCAAUUGA
rnacentral:ncRNA from 1 species